rnacentral:rRNA from 1 species
UACGUAGGGUGCGAGCGUUAAUCGGAAUUACUGGGCGUAAAGGGCGCGUAGGCGGAAUGGCAAGUCGGUCGUGAAAUCCUUCGGCUCAACCGAAGAACGUCGAUCGAAACUGCCGUUCUUGAGGAUUGCAGAGGAGACUGGAAUUCCCGGUGUAGCGGUGAAAUGUGUAGAGAUCGGGAGGAACACCGGUGGCGAAGGCGGGUCUCUGGGCAAUUCCUGACGCUGAGGCGCGAAAGCGUGGGGAGCAAACGGG